UUCUCUCCUUCUUUUUCUUCCUCUUUCUUCCUCUCCUUCACUCCUUUUUUCUUUCUUUCUAAAAAAAAAAAAAAGAAAUUGAAAAAAAAAAACAAGAAAUUAAAGAUAGACUGUGAGUAUAUUUUUUGAUCUCCUUGUUCACAGACUAGGAAUACCUGAUCCUUUGGUAAUGGAUUGAAAAGUCAUAUGAUGAAGAGUAUGAACUGCAUGAAAUUAAGCGGGAGCAAGAUAUACCCUCAAAAGAAGAAAUACUGAAGCUGCUCUCACUGGAACAAUCCCUGGCCCCUUCCUUCUGAAGAUUGAUGCCAACACACUGUCCUUCCAAAACACAGCUGUGUUCACGUCUCUUCUCCAGUUAAAGUGGCUACCAUCUUUUUUAUAGUCAAAGCUCCCACUGGGUACCUUCUUCUGCAGUUCCUGUGCCCACUGGGUGAUCUCAACUCAUCAACUCUGGUAGGCACAUUUCCUCGUGUUGUCUCUCCAGCCCUAGGGGUGGUGAGAGACUUCUGCUGUUGCUAUCCUGUCACUUGUCUCAUCAGAAGGCCUUCCCUCCGGGCCUCCAAGAUGUUUGGCAGCUAGUCCCCGGUACUAAAAUUCCUCUCCUCAAAUUCUUGUUGGGGUGUAUUAUCUUUCUGAGUAAAACUUUUAUUGAUAAUUUAAUACAGUUAUCUCCAUUAUUCUCUUUCUUCUGUUGACUCAAAACAAACUUUUUUAAUG
rnacentral:lncRNA from 13 species